rnacentral:rRNA from 1 species
GAUGAACGCUAGCGAUAGGCCUAACACAUGCAAGUCGAGGGGCAUCACAUGAAGUAGCAAUACGGAUGGUGGCGACCGGCGCACGGGUGAGUAACACGUAUGCAACCUGCCUUCAACAAGGGGAUAACCCGUUGAAAGACGGACUAAUACCCUAUAACACAGGGGUCCCGCAUGGGAAUAUUUGUUAAAGGACAACCGGUUGAAGAUGGGCAUGCGUUCCAUUAGCUAGUUGGCGGGGUAACGGCCCACCAAGGCAACGAUGGAUAGGGGAACUGAGAGGUUUAUCCCCCACACUGGUACUGAGACACGGACCAGACUCCUACGGGAGGCAGCAGUGAGGAAUAUUGGUCAAUGGGCGAGAGCCUGAACCAGCCAAGUCGCGUGCAGGAAGAAUGUCCUAUGGAUUGUAAACUGCUUUUGCAGGGGAAUAAAGUGAGCCACGUGUGGUUUUUGUAUGUACUCUGCGAAUAAGGAUCGGCUAACUCCGUGCCAGCAGCCG